UUUCCGUAGGUGAACCUGCGGAAGGAUCAUUAAAGAACGCCCCGUUUUUUGAAAUGGGUAAUUCUAAACCGUGUAUACAUACCUUUGUUGCUUUGGCAGGCCGCCCCUCAGGGCGUCGGCUCCGGCUGACUGCGCCUGCCAGGGGACCCAAACUCUUUUGUUUAGUGAUGUCUGAGUACUAUAUAAUAGUUAAAACUUUCAACAACGGAUCUCUUGGUUCUG
rnacentral:misc_RNA from 1 species